UGUAAAUUUUGUCAUUUGAAACUUGCAAACUGACAUCUCUACUUGCCAUCUAUAGCUGGUUGGAAUGUAAUUGGGGAUUUCCAUCUCUAGCCAUAGGGCUAUAUUGGAUUGGUUGGGCACUUAAUUUGCUUUUCUUUAUUAAAUUGGUGAUUUUGUUAUUUUAGUUUUUUGAACUGGUGGUAUAAUAAUCUUUGCAGGUUUAGGAGAUUCUGAAUAGUUUUCAUGGAUAUCAGUUGACACAUACUGGUCUACAUCGUUUCAUGGACAUUAAAGAAGUAAUACCUAACAAUUCGAAGCUUGUAGUUUGAAAUUUUUUAACAGAAAAUUAAUCUAAAGAAACUCACGGAAGCUGAUGGGGUGGCUGCAUUAUUUCAUUGGAUGGAGGUGUACCUUAGAUCCUGCAUCAUAUUUUAAAGCUAGUCAGUUAUAUGAAUUUGGUUUAUAAUGAGGGGCAGUCAUCUCUAUCCUGUAGCCAUUUAAAUUCAAUGUUGUAGCAUUAGUUGAUUUCCCUUGAGCUCCCUGUUUGUUCACUGUAAAUGAGAUUUUGAGGUGAUAUUUGUGGUCGCAGAUUGUGGAGGCAAAGAUAAUGGUAUGGAGAGGAGAAAGACAACCAAAUGGUUAAGUCUCUACUUUACUAGAUUACAGGUCGUUGAUAGCGUCAAAGAAGAAAUAGUUUAAAAUUGGAAUCAUGUUGGUUGUUGUAUUUUGCAUGAAUAGUCUUUUUAAUAUCCGCACCUAACUGAAUGGUUUGUCGCCUUAGAGAGAAUCAUUGUUGCAGUAUUGAUAUAACCUUCUAGAGAAGGUUUAAUCGAAGAGAAGACUUAUGAGGUUGAUAACGAUUAAUGCUUUAGUUCCGAGAAUGUUCAUUAUGAAAAACAUCACAAGACAAGAAUGAUGAAGACAAACUGUAACAACGUUCAUUAUAAGUAGAUCUCCCUUAUUGGGAGGCUUGAAAGCCAUGAGAGAAUCAACGUUCACAGUGGUGGCUAUUUGAAGUAAUCCUGAGAACGAGAGCCAGUCUAUUGGAAGCAGCGCGAAUGUUGGUGAGUUAGCUGGUUGGAUGGCAAAUUGCAUCUGCAUCUUCAUUUGUUCAAGCAACUGUCAUUGCCAUGUCGUUCAUACCACUUCCAAAAAAUCAAGUUCCAGUCUUGAAACAACUAAGACACCACCAACAACCUCGGGUAUGGUUAACUAUCAGCAUCCUGAUCGUGAACACCAAUGAAACUCCUGCGAUCUGGCCAGUCUGUCGAGGAUGUAAUUACCUAUUGGUAUUUUUGCACUAAUAAUUUAGAAUUUCUUACCAUUGUUUUUUGUUGAUAUAUGUCUUUGAACUAUUUUAAAUUCUGCAUCUUUUUUUUGGUUUGGGGAUGGGGCGUAUUAAAGUUCAGAUGUUUUUCUUCUCGACAGUAUGCAUCUUGGUUUUUGGAUAACCUGCUGGGUGAUUCAUGCAUCAAGAUUCAGCUAUCACAAACUUAUAUUCUCAUCCUUCUCGCCAAACAUUGAUUUUGAUUAUAUAUGAUUGUUCUAUUGGACUUCGAUUCUUUUAGCCUUUCCUCUUUAUUAAAUUUAAUACGAGUAUUUGACAGUUUAUUACUUACAAGCUAGUAGGACAAUCUAUAAUGAUUUUAUCAUUGAAAAAUGUGUAUACACAGUACUUGCAUGGUUUUUUUUUUCUAAUAGUUUCUGCUAACAUUAAUCGAUUUUCAUUUUGUUUGUACCAUUAAGAUCUCUGGUAUAAAGCCGUGGCAGUUUAAUGAUAUCUGGUAGCUGGUUUCUUUUGUUAAAAGAGCAUUGCUUGCUCCUCUUGGAGAAGGGAAAAAAUGGCCAUGCUGGGUGUUAGAAAUUUUAGGCCUAAAUAAGACUUUCCCUUGUUUUGGACAUUCCCCUGUUUUUAUUGAUGAGACACAUGAAAAGAAAAAAAGCAUUUUCAAGUCUCAAAUUCAUUAUAAUUUUAUUUAUUAAAAUUGAUAUAAAUGUAGUGUAUGCUUUUUGCCCAUGUAUUUGUUUUGGGAGUUUUCUGUGUUUUUAGGGUUUUUGGCGCUUUAAGAGACUUGUUUAUGCUUCAAAUAAUUUUUUAAAUCAAGAACAGAUAGGGAGCUUGAAUAUUACUCCUUUGUGUCUUGAAAUAAAAAAAUCUGAACUAAAGCAGACACGAGUGGAGAAAAAUACUAAUAGAUAGAGAAUGGGGUUCUAAGCCAGGUAGCGGAGGCCUCGUCUGCACCGAACGAGGCAAUCGACAAGGAGGAGCAUCUCUGGCAACUUGCCCUUAAGACGAUAGAGAGCACUCAAGAUUCAUAUUUCAUGCGAAACCACCUGGGCAGUUAUGAUUUAUGAAUGAAUGUAAGAUAUAUCUGACAUUGCACAACAAUGAAAAAAUUUAUCUGGCGCGCAUGCAAAGGAAGCAUCACAAAACCAAUUGGGCUAAGAGGGCAGUAUGAGGCCGUAUGAAGCUAAGAGGGGAAGUAUAAGCGCAAAGUUAACAUUUGCCAGACUGGAGUCGUCUAUUUUUGACAAAUGUAAAAGUUAUGGUUACAGAAGAUAUAUAUGUUCUAUUUGAUACAUGUGAAAGGGCUUGCAGAGUAUUUCAAAUCAAGCUUGAAAUCUGAAGUAGAACUACUCUUCGUGGACCUAGAACAAGAUCCUCCAAAGACUGUAACACAAGCGGAACAAAGCUUGCUAGCAACAGAACUCAUAGGAGCGCAGAAGUUAUUCUCCUUGUCUUUUCCUGCCAAUGAUAUGAACAAUGAUGUGCCGUCAUGCCAGUUGAAGGAUAGUGUGCCUAAUGCUGCAGAGAGCACGGCUUAUGCUGGAUCGUCUGUUCAUAAGCUUAUAACCUAUCAGUCUUCUGAUUUUAUCGAUCUUAGUAUCCGCAUGAAGGAUACUAAUGUCACAGUGCCGAUUUUAAAUGGGUAACUUCUAAAUUUAAGAGAAGGUCCGGAUCUGCUUGGACUAGUUUAUGCAGAGGGUGAUAUACGAUAUGAAGUUUAAUUUUCAUUGCCGAGUUGAUUCCUGAUAAGAGUGUUAUCUUUUCUCUGUGGUAGUUAAAUCACUGCUACAAUUGCUUGUUUGAUACCAACUGAAUGGUUUUUUAAAAUUACUAAUUUGGAAAAGCUUAUCAUACUCUGUCCUGUGACAUGCAAAAGAUGGCCUUUUUUCGUCCUUAAAAAUCAAAUUCAUGUGUAAUCUGUGAUAUAUUCUUAUAUUGAUAAAUUUAUUUAAAAUUUUCAA